UAUUUCGAACUAGACAAGGUUAAGAUUAAUUGUCACACGGAGGGUGACAAUUAAUCUUGGGCAAAGCGCUUGCUUUGCCUGACAUAGAACUCAGAAAUACGUGGAUCUAGUACAAUUUAAGUUGCGGCGAAAUACUACAGCUGUAGCGCGUAGUUCGUAGCGCGUAGUUCGUAGCGCGUAGUUCGUAGCGCGUAGACCGUAACUAUUACUUUUUUUAUAACACAUCAAUUUUGUAGUGUUAUAGGUAAUUACAUAAAAUAAAAUUAAAAAUAAAAAAUCUUGAAAAAAGCGCUAUUAAGCUUAAUUAUUACAAAUGUCCAACAUUAAAGACCUUUAACCGAAAAAUCGUACAUAAAAUAAUAAACCUAGUAAACAGUUGAUUCUAUUCUAUUUUUAAUUGAAAUAAAAUUUGUAGGUAAAUAAACAAAUAAAAUACUUUUAUUAGUUCAUUAAUGUUAUUUAUUAGGUACAAUAUUAUGUUAUCCUAUCACAGAUUCAUAAAAUACCUUACAUACUACUUGUGUGAAUAUGAAAACGUAAUAACAUAUUAGUGAUAUGCGACGAGAUGAGAUGACAGUAGAGCAGGGGUGGCCAACCGGUCGAUCGCGACCAUUAGUCCAGUCGAUCGAGGCUAGGCAAAAAAUAUAAAUAAAUAGUCCAUAUUGCGCAACGUAACACUACUAUGCUGUAUCAUUUAAUAUUUCAAAAAGUAUGUUAGUGGUAGAUCGCACAGGGUUUCGUUAGUAAACAGUAGAUCUUAUGUCUAAUCAAAUUGGCCACCCCUGCAGUAGAGUGUUCUUGGUCAUACUUUGAUUGCCCGAGUUAUUGAGCGAUACAAUUAAAUAUCGGACAACAGUUUACAUGGUGGCGUGACGUGUCAAUAAAACUUCCUAAAAAACAAAAAAAAAAA